AUUGGCUCUAAAAACUAAAUGAACUGCUCGGUAACCAAAUAGUUAGUUCCAGCAAGUAAUAAAUGACUUGAGGCAUCUAUAGGAAAGCUCAGAAAACUAAAACAAGUAGAAAUAUGGACAAUAACCUGAAGGGUUAUUACAAUAUCUACAACUAAAUCUACCUGAAGUCUCAAAUAGGUGUGGAUAAUGGGUCCGUAUCUCGCUCUUGAUUUCCCAUAUAGC
rnacentral:lncRNA from 1 species